GCGUGUGUGUGUGUAUUUUUCAACUUCUCUAGUUCGAUAAUAUACGGUUUUCUCGGUAACCGGUUCCCCGCGGGCUUCGCAUACCCUCAGCAACUACCGCGCGCAAAAAUAAUAAAAAAAAAAACCUAUAAAUAAAUAAAAAAAAAACUUAUUAUCGAUUAUCGUUAUCAUUAUUAUUUGUAUUAUCGUUAUCAUUUAUUAUUACUAUUAUUACGUGUAGCUAUAAAAUAAUAUGUAUAGCUGUGGUAUAUAUGCGGUUUUUUUCCAUCGUUAUUAUUAAUAUAAUUAUAUAUACAAUAUGUGCAUACCAUAUGUAUAUAAAUAUUUUUUAAUGCGUGUUACCAACGAUCUGCGGGCUUAUCGCGUGUAUAAAAAAUUAAAAAACCGCGAACGAAUUAAAAAUGAAAAAAAAAAAUUGUGUUUUUUUGUGUACAUAGGAUAGAAUAUUAUUAUUACAAUGUAUAGCGCGUUGUAUUUACGCGUCUCCUUUGCGUUUUCUCGCUUGUUUUUCUUUUCUUUUUUUUUUUUAAUUUUUUGGGGGAAGUGUUUUUCGAAAUAUUAUCCGGUGUAAAAAUGUAAAAAUGUAAAAAAUUCGAAAUAACAAUAAUAAUAAAUACUUUCCUCGAUUUAUCGUUUUUGUCAAUCCCACGCGGUGUAAAUAGUUAUAAUAUAAUAUAGGUACAAAUAUUUGUUCGUUUUGACGUAAAUGAAAAAAAAAAAUAAAAAUAAAAAAAAAAAUGAAAUAAAAAUAUAGAAUAAUUACUAUUGUGUUCGUCCGUUAGACAUAGACAAAUAUCAUCAGUAAUAGUAUCACUAUAUAAGCUAGUCAAAAAGACAGUAAUAUUAUAAUAAUAAUAAUGUAUAGUUAAAAAGAGGAAAUCUGUGUAAAAAAUAUUGGAAAAAAAAAAAUAAAUAGAGAAACUUAUAAUUUAACGAACAUUAGGAAAAUACGAAAAAUAAAUAAUAUGUAAUACGAUCGGUUUUUUUUUUUUUUUGUUAUACGC